rnacentral:lncRNA from 1 species
CAACAGCAACAAAGGAACACACUGAAAGGCAGUACUAGGCUGCCUGUUGUCAGGACAACGAAGGAAACAACCCAAGGGCCGUGAGUCUGAGGAAGAGAAAAUAUAGCAAUGAGGUUUACAACACGUUCAGUGCUUCCCAGUUUUUCUUUUUCUAGAAAAAUGGUUGAGGACAGCUACUGGUCCCGAGAGAGUUAUCAUCAUAAGGACCAAAGGGACCUUUCAGAUAGUCUAGUGACUGUCCAGUGAUCGUCAGCUCUACAGCAUGUGAGAUGUCUCCUCGGGUGCCUGAGCAGCAACACUGUCGGAUGUGGGCAGACACUGGAGAGUGCACGAGGACGGUCAUGGGACAGCGAGACAGCUCUCUCAGGUGUCCGCACAGUCUCUGGCCUCGAAGUCUCCAGUCCUCAGAGUCUUCUGCCAGGUACUAAGAGACAGACUUCUUCCAUGUGUUUAAUGUUGACAGUUGUUCCCACUGCUCUCUGAGACUCGGGGCUCUGACUAUAACUGCAUGUCUACAGCCAGGGCCCAUUGCAUUCUGAAUCAGUGACACACAGAGCUGGUUCUUUGAAAAGAUAAACAAGAUCUGUGAAAGGCCAUGGAAGGCCAUUGGUGAAGGUGCAGCCUCAGUUGCAAUUGACGGCCCAGGACUGAAGGG